GAUAUCACUUGUGUCUUUUCUAGGCAGUGAAUCAGUGCACAUUGGAUCUGAUCCUGUUAUCCCGGAUCCAUGGGAUACUCCUGAGUAUCUUUCAACAUUCCCCAAAUGUGGAAAGCCAGUUUAAGGCCAAAAAAUUGCUAUACUGAAAGUAGAAAUCUUCUGAAGGCUUUCAGUACCUACUGCCAAGAGGAAGAUCUGUCAAUAAAUUACUCCAAGACCACGGUUAUGGUUUUUGGUAGAUACUACAACAUGUAUAAAUAAUCUUUA
rnacentral:lncRNA from 11 species